rnacentral:lncRNA from 13 species
UAACAUCUUAACGAUUGCAUUGUAGAUUCCGCAUUACAAUUAGUGCUCAAUAAUUUUUCCAAGGUAUAUUUAUAAACAUGUAUAAAAUUCCUCCAAACUGCGCGCCGCAAUUUUGCCGGACACAGCUUUAUUGAAGAAUCCGAAUGUAAUGCGGCCUUAUGCAUUAUUUCUAUUUGUUAUUACACUUCGCGGUCUUAUUAUUAAAAAUUUGUAUUGUAUUGUAUACGCAUCGUUCUUCUUAGCAGUCGGAUUCUUCAAUGAAGAAUUUUCAACAAUCAGAAAUGUACGUCAAUUUUCGAGACUCCUCUGACGAAUGGUCAGUUCGGAGCAAAAGUUGAGUGACGCCUCUAAGACCGAUAAGGAGAAAUGGUGUAAUUCAUCCAUCAUCAAACACCAGGACGAUUUUUUUUCAAACGUGGAUCGAGGGCUUUAUAGCAGCUAUAUAUCGAAAUUUUGUUUUGAAAAAAUUCAUAAAUACUGUCAAAAUAUAAAUAAAUACAUCUAUAGAAAGUUUUUUGUAAUAAUAUAAUAAGAUUUUUGAUAGGUAUAUUAAUGAAAUAUUUAGUAAUUCCAAAAGUAAAGAAGUUUAUGAUAAGUUUAUAAAGAUAUUAGAAGAUAUAGUCAAAUAAAUGCCUAAUAGAUCUCUUU